rnacentral:lncRNA from 1 species
AAUAUUCAAUGUAAUUUUUUAUAUAAUUAAAGCCGUGGUUUUAAAAGAUUAAGCGUUCAUCGUUACGGACCGUAUCUCUCGUAUCGUAUCGUACUAAUAAGAUAUUAAUACGAUACAGCUUCCGUACCGAUGACACAACUUAAAACUCUCUAUUUUUUAAAUUAGUAAGUAAUUUUUUUAAUAAAAUUUAAAAUAUUUGAUAAAGAUAGAUAACAAAUAGUUAUAAUAUUUUGUUAUUAAAGAAAUAAAUACUUCAUAUCAUUAUACAUGUAUUUUUUAAUGACCAGCACAUAUCGGUACAGUCCGGCACGCACCGCAUCGUACCGUGCCAAUAAGUUUCCGGCAUGAUCUCAUGUCACUUCACUUAAAUUCUUACUUGAUCCCUCAUAGCAUAAAUCUUUAACACUUUGAUAUCUAACCUAUUCUCAUGCACAAGGAUACAACCGAGCAAAUUCAGGGCGAAUUUUUAAAAAUUCAAAUCCGAACUCAAAUCUGACGGAUUUUAAAAAUUCAUAUCCAUCUGAACCCAACCAAAAAUUCGAAAUAUGAACCAAAAAAUAUAAAUCCAAAAUAAUUAUUCUCUUUAUCAUAUUUUAAACUUUCCACUCAUAUUCUUCCAAACGUUCUGGGAGAUAGUCAAAGCGGACAUCUUCAGCAUUUUUGUAGAUUUACAGGACAAUAAACUCUUUACUGGACCAACUGACUACUCCUGCGUCUACCUUUUCCCCAAAACUAAAGGAGCACGCAAGGCUAAUGACUUCUCAUCAAUGGAGUUCAAAAGAUCAUUUCCAAAGUUCUCGCAAACCGACUAGCGCUCACCCUGCCAUCUAUCAUCACCUCGACACAAUCGGCCUUCCUCAAAGACCGACUACUGACUGAUUCGUU